ACACCCCUAUCAGAUAUAUUCCAUUUAUGAUUCGAUAUUGUCUCCAACUUGAACCUAGGUUGUCUAGAAUCACAAAUUAAACAGUUUUGAAAAUACGCCAGUGUCCAGCUCAAUUUGAAGUUGAUACGCACCAAAAUGACAAAGCUCACCAUUUAAAUGGUUUUUGCAGAUUUGUUGACUUUAUAGAGCAUUUGUGGAAGUGUGACAAGUUGCUUCCCCGUUCCACCUUGAAGUGGCAGGGCAGGAAUUUUGUUCUAGAAUGGCAAGGCGAUUUCUCAUUUGCAAAGGGCGCUUGUAUUAGAAAUUCAUCUUGUCUAUGGGGGACAUUUCAAUGGGCAUUGAGGCAAAGACCAGGGGCGCCAAGGCCUCCGAUGCCUCCGUGAAGGUCCUUCCUGGCAGUGGGAUCGCAUUUUUAUGCGGCAGUGUCAGGUCAGCAUAACCUUUUCUUACAAAACUUCAAAAGUACCCGCAUUCAUUCACCAGGAUGUGCCGAGGCAUUGUUGCGAUAAACUGUCUCGCCCCAGAGCACAAACACCCUCAGGCUCCAUCUGUGCGUAAAUCCCCUUUCCACCGCAUGAGGCAAACAUGGUUCCACCAGGGCGAUGACAGAAGCACUCGGUUGUCUCAGUCUAGGCGACAGGCUUCAGUGUGUGUGUCUAUUGUGUUUCGCUUACAGGAAAAUCCGCAUGCUGAUGCCAUUCUGAGAAAACUGGUUGAGCGAAGGGCUCUGCAAGGCAGUUUGUACACAUCUGCCGGCUUAUGUGAAAACAAACGUACAUUAAAUGGCGGGCAACGGGAAAGUUCAUGUCGUUCGUGACGUCAGUUUGGUACGUUUAAUAAGCUCUUUUGCACAUCUCAUUAGAGAUUAUCAUUUUUUGUUGUAGUUUUUUUGGUUAUACUUUUAUAUGAAUUUUCCCCCAUUUACAGGGUGUUUAAAAAGGUAAUCCAACUUUAAGGGAUUAAUAUAGCUAUAUGGCAUCUCACACAGCAUUUUGAGGGCCACAGCCAGAAAACUCAAGAUAAGAGCUUUCAAAUGACGCCUUUCUUGUCUGAUCAUGUUAUUGCUUAAGGGCAUACCAAUGGAUUGAAAUCAUGGCACCAAAACUGCACUGGUUCACUUAUUGAGCCUCGUUGCAUUUCACUUGACCAACUGUCAUACCUUGAUUGUGAAUAAUAUCUUGCCUGGUUAUGCAAUGGGGUUUAUUCAAAAGGCCUGGUGUGUCCAUUCUGGCCGUCAAACAAGCUUGGUAUCACAAUGGGCAGCUAACCACUCAGCAGAGAAUUUUUAUGGUAAAAGACAUUUCAAGAAACUAAAAGUGUGCAAGCCACACGGGAUGCUUUUCGAGAAGCAUUCAGAGACAGAAACACCAGCAAAGAAAACAAUCCGAGCCAAUGUUAACAAGUGUGAAAUACAUGGAACCAGCUUGAACAGGACCAAUUUGUGUUGAUUUUUUUUUACAUGAAAGUGAGCCAACCAUAUUUUUGCACCCUUUAGAAAUUCCAGGUGAUGGUGCUCAAUCAUGCAUGGCCCUGGACCUUUGUGUCAUUUGAACACUCAUAAUCUCUACUUUAAAGUGAUACCAUGAUCCUUGUUGAAGGGCAUUUAGUAUUGUCGUAUUAACCCCUUAAGAGUUGGAUUACCUUUUUUUUUUUUGAGGUGGCUUUUCAGAGGAGGCGCUACCCUUUGUCGUCUUUAGAAUUUCGUUAAGCACGCACUUGGCAAUAAAAAAAAAAACAGUUUGAAGGAUUCUGGUGUGUGGGUGUUGUCACGGUUAAGAUCUGCCGGCUUGUGUGAAAACAAAGGUACAUUAAAUGGCGGGCAACGGGAAAGUUC